UAACAGUGAAAGCUUUUCGUACACGUUU
rnacentral:piRNA from 1 species